rnacentral:rRNA from 1 species
GACGAACGCUGGCGGCGUGCCUAACACAUGCAAGUCGAACGGAAAGGCCCUGCUUGCAGGGUGCUCGAGUGGCGAACGGGUGAGUAACACGUGGGUGAUCUGCCCCUUACUUUGGGAUAAGCCUGGGAAACUGGGUCUAAUACUGGAUAGGACCAUGCUGUAGGUGGUGUGGUGGAAAGAUUAGUUUCGGUAAGGGAUGAGCUCGCGGCCUAUCAGCUUGUUGGUGGGGUAAUGGCCUACCAAGGCGUCGACGGGUAGCCGGCCUGAGAGGGUGGACGGCCACAUUGGGACUGAGAUACGGCCCAGACUCCUACGGGAGGCAGCAGUGGGGAAUAUUGCACAAUGGGCGCAAGCCUGAUGCAGCGACGCCGCGUGGGGGAUGACGGCCUUCGGGUUGUAAACUCCUUUCAGCCAUGACGAAGCCCUUGUGGUGACGGUAGUGGUAGAAGAAGCACCGGCUAACUACGUG